AUUGAACGCUGGCGGCAGGCCUAACACAUGCAAGUCGAGCGAGGGGCGGACGGGUGAAUAAUGUAGGGGGAUCUGCCCUAUAGAGGGGGAUAACUACUGGAAACGGUGUAUAAUACCGCAUACUCUCGGAAUAACCCAUAUGGUAUUAGCUAGUAGGAGGGGUAAGGGCUCACCUAGGCGACGAUCUCUAGCUGGUCUGAGAGGAUUAUCAGCCACACGGGGACUGAGACACGGCCCAGACUCCUACGGGAGGCAGCAGUGGGGAAUAUUGCACAAUGGGCGCAAGCCUGAUGCAGCCAUGCCGCGUGUAUGAAGAAGGCCGUAGGGUUGUAAAGUACUUUCAGCGGGGAGGCGUUACCCGCAGAAGAAGCACCGGCUAACUCCGUGCCAGCAGCCGCGGUAAUUC
rnacentral:rRNA from 1 species